UGAAGAUUGAAAAGUUUCAGAGUUCCGUUUGUGAAAGUGUUUUUUUCUUUUUUCGUUAUUAUUUUAGAAUUAAUUAUUGUGAACUUUGAAAAAUCAUAACAAAUCAUAGAAACCUGCUAAAAUGACAAAUCCAACUGUUUUGGACUCUAUGAGAAUGGCUUUACACAUUCAUGCCAUUUGUUCAUAUAGUUAGUGUAUGUUUUGGUUGGGAAUAAAAUAAAAAAGAAAAGUUUGCCUUCAUGAAAUGCUAAUUCUCAAGAUCAGAAGUUAAUUAGCCUAAUUCUAUUUGUUUAACACUAGAGGUGUUAGAGAAACUCGGCCAUCAUGAAUAUUUGAAUGUGUGUGUAUAAUAUACACGGUUAUUUUAAGAGUCAUACAAAAUAUUUGAAUGUAUUAUUCAUUCUCUUGUGUAUGCAAUAAAAUGACUACAAAAAUCAAUUAUACACUAAAUUACUAUAAGUUUGUGUGUAAAAAGAUGAAUUAAUCAUCCUGCAGACAAUCAAACAGAUAACCUAUUGUACAAGCUAUCUGUUCAGCUGUCUGUUUAUAACAAAAAGACAGCAGCUGUCUGCAUGGUUGUACUUACCCUUACGUUCUACACUCAUCAAUUAUUUAUUUGGAUGAUUAGUGAGCUGAACUUUCUUUGUGGAUUUGCUUGCAUUUCAGACAACUUUUAAUUCUUGGUUAAGUGAAAGUUUUUUCGGCAAUUUAGUAAAUCAGCGCUUCCGCUUUGCGUUGUGUCUUGCUCGCAUAAAUUGACUUUCACUUGCUUCCGUUUUGAGUUGAGUUUCUCCUAACCGUUUCUAGGGUGAACUUGUCACUUGUUGGCUUGUAUCAUCUUGACGGUUAGAAGAGAAGUGCGUCGGGUUGAAUUUGGGACAUAGACUUUGUUCUCUUAGAGAAUUUUUUAGAGGCUCCCAUUCACCCCCUCCGAUCGCUUGUCCGGUCCUCCAUCUACUUUAACCCUCCUGGGGCCUUUGACUUAAGCUAUUGACUCCACCCCUUAGAUUAACUAUAGGGCUCAUAUUCUGCCAAACAAAUCCCUCGAACUAAUUCCUUCCUCACUAAGAAAAACAAGAAUUUUAAGGCCCCAUUUUGUACAUCGAUCUAUAGCAUACUACUUUAACUACAUUUUUUGUAUUAUAAAAUUACUUUUUGAGACGAACCUGCACAUAUAAUUUUUCGAACCUGACACCUUAAAUGCAACACGCGAUUACCGGUCAGUUCAGGAUUUUUUUGAUCGAGGAAACUGCAGAUGCCCUUCUGUAGCAAUUGCUGGGAAACAUAAUGAGUGGGCAGGAGUUUGGCAUGACUUGCCAACUGAACCGAUGGUGGUGGAGUGAAUUACCAGUAAACUCCUAAGGAUCUAAUGCCAAAGACCAAAUCCAAUAUCUAUUCUAGUUUGAACGAGUCUCCCCCAUGUCUCAAUCAUUACUUAUGUCAUUGUCAUAACUUAGAGUUUAUUUAGAUAGUCUAAAACUAAAGUUUAGUCAAUGCUAAAGUUUUUUAAGGAAAAAUUUGGUCAAUGGUAAAGGAUUUUUUUUUUGGAAAACUACAUUAGUGAUUACAAAGGACAAUAUCCAAAUAAUGAUCCUUCCUAUAUGGAUAACCAGACUAAACUUUAGCUGUAGUACUAACAAAAAUUAUUUAUACCCAUGUAUCAUGCACGGUGAAAGGAUAAAGUUUGGGGAAGGUAUUUUGGUAUUUUACCUCCCGCUACAAGAAAUUCGCUCUGAUUGGAUUGGUUUGAACUUUGAAGAGUUAAUGAACUAAACUAGAUUGACAAAUUUUUAUUCCAUAUUUAACCCUCCCAUUUGAAUCAUCUAGAGCUAUCACUGUACCCAACACAGGUUUCUACUCAGUCCACUCGUAGAGGCAUGUGAUUGGGACGGGACAUGGCCACAUGGGGAGACUUGUUCGAAAUAGACUAGAUACAUGGAACAUAGUUAUGCGAGGUCUGGUAGGAAACCGCGUCAAAUGGAGCCUCCUUUCGAAGUGGUUCAGGGAAUUGACUCGUGACUUUGUCGUCAGGCAGCAUGGUAGCCUAAUCCUAAGAGCUACAAAACUAGGUGAUCCAUUGUUCUUCCUCUGCCACUUCACCUGUACCUGCUCGACCAUCUCCUUUUGCAAAAACAUCCCAUGGCAAUUUUUUGGCCAACAGUUCUGACGGGCACCAUAACCGUGCUUGGUUGGUUUCUGGCGCCCAUCAUUCUCUUGCUCUCGAAUAAAAUCCUUUCUCACCUCGGCUUCGAUCCAUCUCAAAAGCUCCGAGAGCUGGAUGUUCACACCAUCCCAAAAAUGAAGCAGACGCUGAGAGACAUAGAGGAGCAGAGGAUGCAGAGGAAAGCGAGAAAAGAGAGAUCUGCUGUGAGCACACUUGACAAAUUGGCCAAGGAUGUGAAAUCUGCUUUGUACGAAGCAGAAGACAUUCUGGAUCUCAUAGAUUAUCACCAAAUCAAGAAGAAAAACAUCAUGGGAUAUGGCCAGCGUCAAGACAGAAGCUGGCUGGAUUACUGGAUGCAGCCCAUCUCCAAAGCUGUCAGGACAUGGAUUACCUGUUGCAGGAGGAGCUGGUUUGGGCGAUGUGUGCGCAACAUUCAAGCUCCUCUACAGCAGUUGGCGAGGAGCUUGCUUCCACUGGGACGAAUCCUGCAUGCGACCCGGCACGGAUCAUCAGCUCCAAUAAUGCUACCAAUUUCUCAUGCAGCCUCGGUUUCCUUCUUGCACUCGUUAGGUCAAUCCAUGCUCAACAAGUUAGCCAAUGUUGUUGAGAUUGCUCGUUAUUACCAAAACUUGUCAUAUGAAGCGGUGGUCGGCAUCACAAGUUAUCAGAAAAAAUGAUGGUCAAACUCGUAUAUUGGAGGCUGGGUACACAACCAAUGCAGAACGGUAGUGUGUAAAUAGUUGAAGGAGUAGCAUUCUAGCUAGCAGCAAAUCUCUGAGUGUGGUCUAUACUCUAGGUGUGUGUUUGUAAUAAUUGAGCACUGAUGCCUCUCUCUAGAGGGGUUUGAAGCUGGAACUUUUUCCAUUAUCUAAAAAAAAAUCCAGUAGCAAAGCUUGGAUUCUUGAA